UUCAAGUUGGUCCAGAUCGGGGUCCAAAAUUAAACUUUGUUUGAUUUCAACAAAAAUUGAAUAUAUGGGGUUCUUUGAUAUGCUGAAUCUAACCAUGUAUUUAGAUUUUUGAUUUUUGGGCCCCGUUAUCAACUUUGUCCACAUUGAGGUCAAAAGGGUCCAAAAUUAAACUUUGUUUGAUUUCAACAAAAAUUGAAUAUAUGGGGUUCUUUGAUAUGCUGAAUCUAACCAUGUAUUUAGAUUUUUGAUUUUUGGGCCCCGUUAUCAACUUUGUCCACAUUGAGGUCAAAAGGGUCCAAAAUUAAACUUUGUUUGAUUUCAACAAAAAUUGAAUAUAUGGGGUUCUUUGAUAUGCUGAAUCUAACCAUGUAUUUAGAUUUUUGAUUUUUGGGCCCCGUUAUCAACUUUGUCCACAUUGAGGUCAAAAGGGUCCAUAAUUAAACUUUGUUUGAUUUCAUCAAAAAUUGAAUUAUUGGGGUUCUUUGAUAUGCCAAAUCUAACCGUGUAUUUAGAUUUUUAAUUUUGGGUCCCGUUUUUAAAUUGGUCUACAUUAAGGUCCAAAGGGUCCAAAAUUAAACUUAGUUUGAUUUUAACAAAAAUUGAAUUCUUGGGGUUCUUUGAUAUGCUGAAUCUAAACAUGUUUUUUUUUAUUUUGAUUAUGGGCCCAGUUUUCAAGUUGGUCCAAGUUGGGGUCCAAAAUUAAACUUUGUUUGAUUUCAACAAAAAUUGAAUAUAUGGGGUUCUUUGAUAUGCUGAAUCUAAACAUGUAUUUAGAUUUUAGAUUUUUGGCCCAGUUUUCAAGUUGGUCCAAAUUGGAGUCCAAAAUUAAACUUUGUUUGAUUUCAACAAAAAUUGAAUUUAUGGGGUUCUUUGAUAUGCUGAAUCUUACCAUGUAUUUAGAUUUUUUAUUUGUGGGCCCGCUAUCAAAUUGGUUCAUAUUGAGGUCAAAAGGGUCCAAAAUUAAACUUUGUUUGAUUUCAUCAAAAAUUUAAUUAUUGGGGUUCUUUGAUAUGCCAAAUCUAACCGUGUAUUUAGAUUUUUAAUUUCGGGUCCCGUUUUUUAAAUUGGUCUACAUUAAGGUCCAAAGGGUCCAAAAUUAAACUUAGUUUGAUUUUAACAAAAAUUGAAUUUUUGGGGUUCUUUGAUAUGCUGAAUCUAAACAUGUGUUUAGAUUUUUGAUUAUGGGACCAGUUUUCAAGUUGGUCCAAGUUGGGGUCCAAAAUUAAACUUUGUUUGAUUUCAACAAAAAUUGAAUAUAUGGGGUUCUUUGAUAUGCUGAAUCUAAACAUGUAUUUAGAUUUUAGAUUUUUGGCCCAGUUUUCAAGUUGGUCCAAAUUGGGGUCCAAAAUUAAACUUUGUUUGAUUUCAACAAAAAUUGAAUAUAUGGGGUUCUUUGAUAUGCUGAAUCUUACCAUGUAUUUAGAUUUUUUUAUUUUGUGGGCCUGCUAUCAAAUUGGUUCAUAUUGAGGUCAAAAGGGUCCAAAAUUAAACUUUGUUUGAUUUCAUCAAAAAUUGAAUUAUUGGGGUUCUUUGAUAUGCCAAAUCUAACCGUGUUUUUAGAUUUUUAAUUUUGGGUCCCGUUUUUUAAAUUGGUCUACAUUAAGGUCCAAAGGGUCCAAAAUUAAACUUAGUUUGAUUUUAACAAAAAUUGAAUUCUUGGGGUACUUUGAUAUGCUGAAUCUAAACAUGUGUUUAGAUUUUUGAUUAUGGGACCAGUUUUCAAGUUUGUCCAAGUUGGGGUCCAAAAUUAAACUUUGUUUGAUUUCAACAAAAAUUGAAUAUAUGGGGUUCUUUGAUAUGCUGAAUCUAACCAUGUAUUUUGAUUUUGGACAUUGGACCAUAAUAGGUAAAUUAAAAAAAUUGAAGUUCUUAGACCACAUUCUUUCUGUGUCAGAAACCUAUGCUGUGUCAAAUAUUUAAUCACAAUCCAAAUUCAGAGCUGUAUCAAGCUUGAAUGUUGUGUCCAUACUUGCCCCAACUGUUCAGGGUUCGACCUCUGCGGUCGUAUCAAGCUGCGCCCAGCGAAGCAUUUUAUUGGUUAUUAUCCUGAAUAUUAUAAUAGAUAGAGAUAAAC